UCAUCGCUCGCUCGCCGAGAUGCAAGCGGCCGCGGCGGCCGGGAGUGGAUGCGCGGGGGAGAAGUAGUUCGGGUCUGCGCCGCCGCCCUUUGCCUCCACCCCACCACCGUCCACGCCGCCGCCACCACCGCCGUCCGCGCCGCCGCCCUUUGCCGCCGCCGUCACCACCGCCGUCCGCGCAACCGCCCUUUGCCGCCGCCCACACCACCGUCUGCGCCGCCACCACCGCCGUCCUUGCGCCGCCCUUUGCCUCCGCCCCCACCGCUGUCCAAGCCGCUCUUGGCGUCAUCGGGGAUCCCGGUCGUGCAUUGAAUCCAUCGCAAAGGAUCUCGAGGCCUGCCACCCCGCCCGGCGCACCCAUCUAGAGGCACAUGCUCUCCACGGAUCCAUUGGAUCCCUUGCCGCCUCUCCUCCUCUGUGCUUCGCUGGAGAAGCCUUGGCCUUGCCCUGGAUGCUAGAUUCUGCGAUUCCUCACCUGCAAUAUGGAUUAUGGAAGUGCAUCUGCACCUGGGGCGCUAGCUGCUGAUGGCCAGAGAUAACCGCGAUGUGUACAGGUCCGUACCUUGCAUCAAAUUCCAGCCCUUACGGCCACUCGGAGCGCUUUUCACUGUACAAACAGCAUGCAGAGAAGCUAAUGGAGUCUUGUUCAGGUUAUCACCGCUUUUGCUCCAGCAAGAAAGUACGACGAGUCUUGCGAAGGGUCCUCGAGGAAGCUCAAUAUAUAGAUGACUAUUCUCAGUGGAGAUGAUACCAGAGAUGUUAUUCUGAAGUAAGCUCCUGCACACCAUUCUUUUCUAGUUCCUUUAGAAGAAAUGAUUCCAUUCUUGUACUCGAUACUGUAGAGUGGUUGCUGCUCAUUCGUCUUAAUUUAAUAUAAUACCAGCGUGU